rnacentral:tRNA from 1 species
GAGGGUCUGGCUCGGCGGUAGAGCGCGUGCUUAGCGUGCACAAGGUCCUGGGUUCAACGCCCAGUCCCUCC